rnacentral:rRNA from 1 species
AGUGAACGCUGGCGGCGUGCUUAACACAUGCAAGUCGAACGAGAACGGAUUAUAGCUUGCUAUAAUUGUCAGCUAAGUGGCGCACGGGUGAGUAAUGUAUAGAUAACCUGCCCUUAAGAAAGGAAUAACAGUUGGAAACGACUGCUAAUGCCCUAUAUGCCUUUAAUACAUAAGUAUGCAAGGGAAACGCUUUAGUGCUUAAGGAUGGGUCUGUAUGGUAUCAGCUUGUUGGUGAGGUAAUGGCUCACCAAGGCUAUGACGCCUAACUGGUUUGAGAGGAUGAUCAGUCACACUGGAACUGAGACACGGUCCAGACUCCUACGGGAGGCAGCAGUGGGGAAUAUUGCACAAUGGACGAAAGUCUGAUGCAGCAACGCCGCGUGGAGGAUGACACAUUUCGGUGCGUAAACUCCUUUUAUAUAGGAAGAUAAUGACGGUACUAUAUGAAUAAGCACCGGCUAACUCCGUGCCAGCAGCCGCGGUAAUACGGAGGGUGCAAGCGUUACUCGGAAUCACUGGGCGUAAAGAGCGUGUAGGCGGGUAUAUAAGUCAGAAGUGAAAUCCAAUAGCUCAACUAUUGAACUGCUUUUGAAACUGUAUACCUAGAAUGUGGGAGAGGUAGAUGGAAUUUCUGGUGUAAGGUUAAAAUCCCCUAGAGAUCAUAAGGAAUACCUAUUGCCAAGGCAAUCUACUGUAACAUUAUUGACGCUUAUACUCGAAA